rnacentral:rRNA from 1 species
GACGAACGCUGGCGGCGUGCUUAACACAUGCAAGUCGAACGGUAAGGCCCUUCGGGGUACACGAGUGGCGAACGGGUGAGUAACACGUGGGUGAUCUGCCCUGCACUUCGGGAUAAGCCUGGGAAACUGGGUCUAAUACCGGAUAGGACCACUGCCUGCAUGGGUGGUGGUGGAAAGCUUUUGCGGUGUGGGAUAGGCCCGCGGCCUAUCAGCUUGUUGGUGGGGUGAUGGCCUACCAAGGCGACGACGGGUAGCCGGCCUGAGAGGGUGACCGGCCACACUGGUACAGGGAUACGGCGCGAACACCUGCGGGGGGCAUAAGUGGGGUAUAUUGGACGAUGGACGCAAGGAUGAGGAGUUGACUCGGGGGGUGCGAUCGCGGCCUGCGGGUUGAAAGCCUCUUUCAGCACCGACGAAGCGCAAGUGACGGUAGGUGCAGAAGAAGGACCGGCCAACUACGUGCCAUCCGCUGUCGUAA